CCCUACGGGGGGCAGCAGUGGGGAAUAUUGCGCAAUGGGCGAAAGCCUGACGCAGCGACGCCGCGUGAGGGAUGAAGGCCUUCGGGUUGUAAACCUCUUUCAGCAGGGACGAAGCGAAAGUGACGGUACCUGCAGAAGAAGCACCGGCCAACUACGUGCCAGCAGCCGCGGUAAUACGUAGGGUGCAAGCGUUGUCCGGAAUUAUUGGGCGUAAAGAGCUCGUAGGCGGCUUGUCACGUCGGCUGUGAAAACCCGAGGCUCAACCUCGGGCCUGCAGUCGAUACGGGCAGGCUAGAGUCCGGUAGGGGAGACUGGAAUUCCUGGUGUAGCGGUGAAAUGCGCAGAUAUCAGGAGGAACACCGGUGGCGAAGGCGGGUCUCUGGGCCGGAACUGACGCUGAGGAGCGAAAGCGUGGGGAGCGAACAGGAUUAGAUACCCUGGUAGA
rnacentral:rRNA from 1 species